CCACGCCCCAGCGCGCAGGGCGGAGAGCAUCUUCGCCCUGCAGUGACCCCCUUGAACGUCUUGUACCUUCUAAAUAGAGCGCAUCUUGGCUUACGCACGGUCACGUGGUCUCUCAGGAAUCCUGGCAGGUUUGUUCAUGUGGAUGAGAUCUCCACAAUUGGCACCCAAACAGGGACCUGAAGUGAAAGGAGUUGCCUGAGCGACUGGUUGGAGACAAAAGACCGGUGGAACCCAAAAAACAGAGGGACUAUCCAGAAGACAGAGAGCUAUUAACUCAAUUACAGAAAACUCUUUGUCAGCGAACUUUUCGAUUGUUCGUUACUCAUAUGCGAGCUCAUUCAAAAUUGGCCGGACCACUAUCUCAGGGUAAUCAUAAUAUUGAUCAGUUACUUAUUGCUAAUGUUCAACUUAAGGAAGCAACAGAAUUUCAUCGAUUAACUCAUGUUAAUACCAAAGGCCUUAAAGAACGUUUUGGAAUUUCCCGUCGCCAGAGUCAGAUGAUUAUAAGACAUUGUCCGUCCUGUCAGGUUGUCAAUGUUCCCUCUUGGCCUAGUGGUACUAACCCCAGAGGGCAAGCUCCGAACCAAUUAUGGCAAAUGGAUGUUACUCGUAUCCCUGCCUUUGGUCGUCUGGGAUAUGUGCAUGUUACUGUUGAUACCUAUUCUCAUUUUAUUAUGGCCUCUGCUUUAUCUGGUGAAAAAACAUCUCACGUCUGUUCUC